AGUAAAAAAAUCAAUACAGGGUAUUUUUAUAUUUGCUACACUUCUAGCUCUUUUGAUCUGUGUAUAGGAAUCAUUUCACACGCUGCUUUUUGCCAAGCACUUGACUGUUGAGUGGCGGCUGUUGUUGUUGUCGAAAAUGUUGGGGUUCGUUGCCGUUGUCGUCGGUAUAGUGUAGUUGUUGCUGUUGUUGUUGUUGUUGUUUUUUUUUUUCUGUGUAUAGUGUAGCCCCAUUUGGUAUUGCUCUGUUGCCAGUUGCUCGCGUGUGUUGUACGUUAUCAACUUCAGUUCAGUUCAGUUCAGUUGCUGGCUGCAAGGCGCGACGCUAGCACGUCGUCUGUCUGCCAGAAGUCUGCUGCCCGGGAUAUAAUAUCAGGGGUAUAUAGAGGAUGGGUGAGAGGGGGCCUACCUACUAUACCUCUCACCGGGGUAAUCGGUUUGAGUUCAUUUUCAUUUAAAUGGAAUUAAAUAUGGUAAAUGAUGAAAUCAAGGCGGGCGAGUGAGACAGCUGCUGUCGUGUGUGUGUGGUGAGUGCGACGACCGACCGACAGCCGACAACCGACCGAUGCGAAGAAUUCCAAUUCCAGACCCGUCUGAAAUUUUUGCACUCUUUUGAAGAGGCACAUUUGUAAUCCAUAUAAUAAAUAAAUAAUUUUUCAAGGGG